rnacentral:rRNA from 1 species
CCCUUUGAUGCUCUGGGCGGCACGCGCGCUACAAUGGAUGGAUUAACGUGAAGCUAACCUGAAAGGGUUCGGCAUAUCAUGAAUUCUAAGUCUCGAAUGGGAUAGUUUAUUGAAAAUUUCAGACUUGAACUAGGAAUCCCUUGUAAGUGUAGUAAAGAAUACUGCAUUGAAUACGUCCCUGCCGUUUGUACACACCGCCCGUCGUUUCUUCCGACUGGUAUCCAUUGUGAAUUGCGAGGAUUUAUGGAGAGUCGCUGUGAAUGCUGGGUAUUGGAGGAAGAAAAAGUCGUAACA